UACGAAGGGGGCUAGCGUUGCUCGGAAUCACUGGGCGUAAAGGGUGCGUAGGCGGGUCUUUAGGUCAGGGGUGAAAUCCUGGAGCUCAACUCCAGAACUGCCUUUGAUACUGAAGAUCUUGAGUCCGGGAGAGGUGAGUGGAACUGCGAGUGUAGAGGUGAAAUUCGUAGAUAUUCGCAAGAACACCAGUGGCGAAGGCGGCUCACUGGCCCGGUACUGACGCUGAGGCACGAAAGCGUGGGGAGCAAACAGG
rnacentral:rRNA from 1 species